rnacentral:misc_RNA from 1 species
AGCAGCCGCGGUAAUUCCAGCUCCAAUAGCGUAUAUUAAAGUUGUUGCAGUUAAAAAGCUCGUAGUUGGAUUUCGGGGUUAGUAGGUUGGUCAUGCCUCUGGUAUGUACUGGUCUCACUGAUUCCUCCUUCCUGAUGAACCUUAAUGCCAUUAAUUUGGUGUUUUGGGGAAUUUGGACUGUUACUUUAGAAAAAUUAGAGUGUUUAAAGCAGGCUAUUUUUGCUUGAAUACAUUAGCAUGGAAUAAUAAAAUAGGACGGCAUGGUUCUAUUUUGUUGGUUUCUAGGACCACCGUAAUGAUUAAUAGGGAUAGUUGGGGGCAUUAGUAUUCAAUUGUCAGAGGUGAAAUUCUUGGAUUUAUUGAAGACUAACUAUUGCGAAAGCAUUUGCCAAGGAUGUUUUCAUUAAUC